GUAUGGGUGGCAGAUCCCGGCAAAUGCAGAAGACCUAAGCCCUCCUUAUAGGGGUUCAACUCCCCUCCUAUACU
rnacentral:tRNA from 1 species